UGGGGAAUAUUGGGCAAUGGGGGAAACCCUGACCCAGCGACGCCGCGUGAGGGAAGAAGGCCUUAGGGUCGUAAACCUCUGUUGUGUGGGAAGAAGAGCGUGACGGUACCACACGAGGAAGUCCCGGCUAACUACGUGCCAGCAGCCGCGGUAAUACGUAGGGGACGAGCGUUGUCCGGAUUUACUGGGCGUAAAGGGCGCGUAGGCGGUCAUUUAAGUCAGCUGUGAAAUGGUUUGGCUUAACCGGAUCAUGCGGUUGAAACUGGAUGACUGGAGUGCUGGAGAGGCAAGUGGAAUUCCCAGUGUAGCGGUGAAAUGCGUAGAUAUUGGGAAGAACACCGGUGGCGAAGGCGACUUGCUGGCCAGCAACUGACGCUGAGGCGCGAAAGCCAGGGGAGCAAACGGG
rnacentral:rRNA from 4 species